UAAGAGACCCUCGGUCCGGUUCCUCACAACACUCCUCAUAUUUCCAAACACGUUUUCCAUCCAGGUCACAAACCAUUUUCAGCUCCAACUCUUUGACAUCUCUCUCAUAUCUCUAUUACGUUCCUCCUUUCUCCUCUCCAUGUUUAAUGGACAGAUAUUCAGUACAUCAGAGGAUUCCCUACAGUAAACAUGUAAUUCAUCUGUCUGUCCCAAGAGUACAGUACCCGUCUCACCUCUAAGAAUGCUGUCUCACCUCUUCUAAGAAUACUGUCUCACCUCUUCUAAGAAUACUGUCUCACCUCUAAGAAUACUGUCUCACUUCUAAGAAUACUGUCUCACCUCUUCUAAGAAUACUGUCUCACCUCUUCUAAGAAUACUGUCUCACCUCUUCUAAGAAAACUGUCUCACCUCUAAGAAUACUGUCUCACCUCUAAGAAUACUGUCUCUCUUCUAAGAAUACUGUCUCACCUCUAAGAAUACUGUCUCACUUCUAAGAAUACUGUCCCACCACUUCUAAGAAUACUGUCUCACCUCUAAGAAUGCUGUCUCACCUCUUCCAAGAAUGUUGUCUCACUUCAUCUAAGAAUACUGUCUCACCUCUUCUAAGAAUAUUGUCUCACCUCUUCUAAGAAUACUGUCACACCUCUAAGAAUACUGUCUCACCUCAAAGAAUACUGUCCCACCUCUAAGAAUACUGUCCCACCUCUAAGAAUACUGUCUCACCUUUAAGAAUACUGUCUCACCUCUAAGAAUACUGUCUCACCUCUAAGAAUACUGUCUCACCUCUUCUAAGAAUACUGUCUCACCUCUUCUAAGAAUACUGUCUCACCUCUUCUAAGAAUACUGUCUCACCUCUUCUAAGAAUACUGUCUCACAUCUAAGAAUACUGUCUCACCUCUAAGAAUACUGUCUCACCUCUAAGAAUACUGUCUCACCUCUUCUAAGAAAACUGUCCCACCUCUAAGAAUACUGUCUCACCUCAAAGAAUACUGUCUCACCUCUUCUAAGAAAACUGUCCCACCUCUAAGAAUGCUGUCUCACCUCUUCUAAGAAUGCUGUCUCACCUCUUCUAAGAAUACUGUCUCAAAUCUAAGAAUACUGUCUCACCUCUUCUAAGAAUGCUGUCUCACCUCUUCUAAGAAUGCUGUCUCACCUCUUCUAAGAAUGCUGUCUCACCUCUUGUAAGAAAACUGUCUUACCUCUUCUAAGAAUGCUGUCUCACCUCUUCUAAGAAUACUGUCUCACCUCUUCUAAGAAUACUGUCUCACCUCUUCUAAGAAAACUGUCUCACCUCUAAGAAUACUGUCUCACCUCUAAGAAUACUGUCUCACCUCUAAGAAUACUGUCUCUCUUCUAAGAAUACUGUCUCACUUCUAAGAAUACUGUCCCACCUCUUCUAAGAAUACUGUCUCACCUCUAAGAAUGUUGUCUUACCUCUAAGAAUGCUGUCUCACCUCUUCCAAGAAUGUUGUCUCACUUCAUCUAAGAAUACUGUCUCACCUCUUCUAAGAAUAUUGUCUCACCUCUUCUAAGAAUACUGUCACACCUCUAAGAAUACUGUCUCACCUCAAAGAAUACUGUCCCACCUCUAAUACUGUCCCACCUCUAAGAAUACUGUCUCACCUUUAAGAAUACUGUCUCACCUUUAAGAAUACUGUCUCACCUCUAAGAAUACUGUCUCACCUCUUCUAAGAAUACUGUCUCACCUCUUCUAAGAAUACUGUCUCACAUCUAAGAAUGCUGUCUCACCUCUUCUAAGAAUACUGUCUCACCUCUAAGAAUACUGUCUCACCUCUUCUAAGAAAACUGUCCCACCUCUAAGAAUACUGUCUCACCUCUAAGAAUACUGUCUCACCUCUUCUAAGAAAACUGUCCCACCUCUUCUAAGAAUACUGUCUCAAAUCUAAGAAUACUGUCUCACCUCUUCUAACAAUGCUGUCUCACCUCUUCUAACAAUGCUGUCUCACCUCUUCUAAGAAUACUGUCUCACCUCUUCUAAGAAUACUGUCUCACCUCUUCUAAGAAUACUGUCUCACCUCUAAGAAUACUGUCUCACCUCUUCUAAGAAUGCUGUCUCACCUCUUCUAAGAAUGCUGUCUCACCUCCUCUAAGAAUACGGUGUCACCUCUUGUAAGAAAACUGUCUUACCUCUUCUAAGAAUGCUGUCUCACCUCUAAGAAUACUGUCUCACCUCUAAGAAUACUGUCUCACCUCUAAGAAUACUGUCUCACCUCUGAGAAUACUGUCUCACCUCUUCUAAGAAUGCUGUCUCACCUCUUCUAAGAAUACUGUCUCACUUCUAAGAAUACUGUCUCACUUCUAAGAAUACUGUCUCACCUCUAAGAAUACUGUCUCACCUCUUCUAAGAAUGCUGUCUCACCUCUUCUAUUAAUGCUGUUUCACCUCUUCUAAGAAUACUGUCUCACCUCUUCUAAGAAUACUGUCUCACCUCUUCUAAGAAUGCUGUCUCACCUCUUCUAAGAAUACUGUUCCACCUCUUCUAAGUAUACUGUCUCACCUCUAAGAAUACUGUCUCACCUCUAAGAAUACCGUCUCACCUUUAAGAAUACUGUCUCACCUCUAAGAAUACUGUCUCACGUCAAAGAAUACCGUCUCACCUCUUCUAAGAAUACUGUCUCACCUCUAAGAAUACCGUCUCACCUUUAAGAAUACUGUUGCACCCCUAAGAAUACUGUCUCACCUCUUCUAAGAAAACUGUCUCACCUCUCCUAAGAAUACUGUCUCACAUCUAAGAAUGCUGUCUCACCUCUGAGAAUACUGUCUCACCUCUUCUAAGAAUACUGUCUCACCUCUAAGAAUACUGUCUCACCUCUUCUAAGAAUGCUGUCUCACCUCUUCUAAGAAUGCUGUCUCACCUCCUCUAAGAAUACGGUGUCACCUCUUGUAAGAAAACUGUCUUACCUCUUCUAAGAAUGCUGUCUCACCUCUAAGAAUACUGUCUCACCUCUAAGAAUACUGUCUCACCUCUAAGAAUACUGUCUCACCUCUAAGAAUACUGUCUCACCUCUGAGAAUACUGUCUCACCUCUUCUAAGAAUGCUGUCUCACCUCUUCUAAGAAUACUGUCUCACUUCUAAGAAUACUGUCUCACUUCUAAGAAUACUGUCUCACCUCUAAGAAUACUGUCUCACCUCUUCUAAGAAUGCUGUCUCACCUCUUCUAUUAAUGCUGUUUCACCUCUUCUAAGAAUACUGUCUCACCUCUUCUAAGAAUACUGUCUCACCUCUUCUAAGAAUGCUGUCUCACCUCUUCUAAGAAUACUGUUCCACCUCUUCUAAGUAUACUGUCUCACCUCUAAGAAUACUGUCUCACCUCUAAGAAUACCGUCUCACCUUUAAGAAUACUGUCUCACCUCUAAGAAUACUGUCUCACGUCAAAGAAUACCGUCUCACCUCUUCUAAGAAUACUGUCUCACCUCUAAGAAUACCGUCUCACCUUUAAGAAUACUGUUGCACCCCUAAGAAUACUGUCUCACCUCUUCUAAGAAAACUGUCUCACCUCUCCUAAGAAUACUGUCUCACAUCUAAGAAUGCUGUCUCACCUCUGAGAAUACUGUCUCACCUCUUCUAAGAAUGCUGUCUCACCUCUUCUAAGAAUACUGUCUCACCUCUUCUAAGAAUACUGUCUCACCUCUUCUAAGAAUGCUGUCUCACCUCUUCUAAGAAUGCUGUCUCACCUCUUCUAAGAAUACGGUCUCACCUCUUCUAAGAAUACGGUCUCACCUCUUGUAAGAAAACUGUCUUACCUCUUCUAAGAAUGCUGUCUCACCUCUUCUAAGAAUACUGUCUCACCUCUAAGAAUACUGUCUCACCUCUAAGAAUACCGUCUCACCUUUAAGAAUACUGUCUCACCUCUAAGAAUACUGUCUCACGUCUAAGAAUACCGUCUCACCUCUUCUAAGAAUACUGUCUCACCUCUAAGAAUACCGUCUCACCUUUAAGAAUACUGUUGCACCUCUAAGAAUACUGUCUCACCUCUUCUAAGAAAACUGUCUCACCUCUCCUAAGAAUACUGUCUCACAUCUAAGAAUGCUGUCUCACCUCUGAGAAUACUGUCUCACCUCUUCUAAGAAUGCUGUCUCACCUCUUCUAAGAAUACUGUCUCACCUCUUCUAAGAAUACUGUCUCACCUCUUCUAAGAAUGCUGUCUCACCUCUUCUAAGAAUGCUGUCUCACCUCUUCUAAGAAUACGGUCUCACCUCUUCUAAGAAUACGGUCUCACCUCUUGUAAGAAAACUGUCUUACCUCUUCUAAGAAUGCUGUCUCACCUCUUCUAAGAAUACUGUCUCACCUCUUCUAAGAAUACUGUCUCACCUCUUCUAAGAAUACUGUCUCACCUCUAAGAAUACUGUCUCACCUCUUCUAAGAAUGCUGUCUCACCUCCUCUAAGAAUACGGUCUCACCUCUUCUAAGAAAACUGUCUUACCUCUUCUAAGAAUGCUGUCUCACCUCUUCUAAGAAUACUGUCUCACCUCUUCUAAGAAUACUGUCUCACCUCUAAGAAUACUGUCUCACCUCUGAGAAUACUGUCUCACCUCUUCUAAGAAUGCUGUCUCACCUCUUCUAAGAAUACUGUCUCACCUCUUCUAAGAAUACGGUCUCACUUCUAAGAAUACUGUCUCACCUCUAAGAAUACUGUCUCACCUCUUCUAAGAAUGCUGUCUCACCUCUUCUAAGAAUACUGUCUCACCUCUUCUAAGAAUACUGUCUCACAUCUAAGAAUGCUGUCUCACCUCUUCUAAGAAUACUGUCUCACCUCUAAGAAUACUGUCUCACCUCUUCUAAGAAAACUGUCCCACCUCUAAGAAUGCUGUCUCACCUCUUCUAAUAAUGCUGUUUCACCUCUUCUAAUAAUGCUGUUUCACCUCUUCUAAGAAUACUGUCUCACCUCUAAGAAUGCUGUCUCACCUCUAAGAAUGCUGUCUCACCUCUUCUAAGAAUGCUGUCUCACCUCUUCUAAGAAUGCUGUCUCACCUCUUCUGAGAAUACUGUCUCACCUCUAAGAAUACUGUCUCACCUCUAAGAAUACUGUCUCACCUCUUCUAAGAAAACUGUCUCACCUCUUCUAAGAAUACUGUCUCACAUCUAAGAAUGCUGUCUCACCUCUUCUAAGAAUACUGUCCCACCUCUAAGAAUACUGUCUCACCUCUUCUAAGAAUGCUGUCUCACCUCUUCUAAGAAUACUGUCUCACCUCUUCUAAGAAUGCUGUCUCACCUCUUCUAAGAAUGCUGUCUCACCUCUUCUAAGAAUACUGUUCCACCUCUUCUAAGUAUACUGUCUCACCUCUAAGAAUACUGUCUCACCUCUAAGAAUACCGUCUCACCUUUAAGAAUACUGUCUCACCUCUAAGAAUACUGUCUCACGUCCAAGAAUACUGUCACACCUCUAAGAAUACCGUCUCACCUUUAAGAAUACUGUCUCACCUCUAAGAAUACUGUCUCACCUCAAACAAUACUGUCCCACCUCUAACAAUACUGUCUCACCUCGAGGAAUACUGCCUCACCUCGAGGAAUACUGCCUCACCUCUAAGAAUACCGUCUCACCUCUUCUAAGAAUACUGUCUCACCUCUUCUAAGAAUACUGUCACACCUCUAAGAAUACUGUCUCACCUCUAAGAAUACUGUCUCACCUCUAAGAAUACUGUCUCACCUCUAAGAAUACCGUCUCACGUCUUCUAAGAAUACUGUCUCACCUCUAAGAAUACUGUCUCACCUCUAAGAAUACCGUCUCACCUCUUCUAAGAAUACCGUCUCACCUCUUCUAAGAAUACUGUCUCACCUCUAAGAAUACUGUCUCACCUUUUCUAAGAAUACUGUCUCACCUCUUCUAAGAAUACUAUCUCACCUCUUCUAAGAAUACUGUCUCACCUCUUCUAAGAAUGCCUGUCUGACCUGUCCUCUCAGUCUGUUGUUCCACUGGGACAUUGACCUUUCUAUACAAAGAGGUCUGAUCUUAAAACAUAAUUAAUUUGGUUGGUGCUUAUAUUUGUCCUAUUUUCACACAAGUGUGUAUUAAGAUGCAUUUGUGAAUAGUAAAUGUGUUUUUUUGCUUGUCCCAACUCUCCCUCAGACAGUUAGGUCACGGCUAACCAUUAUCAACGGCAACCCUGGAGCAAUUAGGAUUAAGUGCCUUGCUCAAGAUCACUAGAAAGAAGAGAAAUAAUGGUGUUCAAUAUAUACUCCAAAAAUGAGGAGUUUCAACAAGGGUUCUUCUAAGAUCCUCAAAGUUCUUUGAAGAACAUUAGGGUUCUGGGCACUGAAAAAUGCCCCAAAAAGGUACUUUGAAGAACCCCAUAGGAGGUGGGGUUCAUCGAGGAACCUCCUGCAAGAACCCACAAGAACUAACUGCCCAACUGAAAAAUGUGGAUUUGAAUUUGAAAAACAGCUGGUGCAAGCAUUUAACUGACCAUUUUUAAGCUCUCCUCAAUUUCAGGUAUUCUGACGAGGAGGCACACAAAGGAUUCAAUCACAGCAGCCAUCUUGCUCCUCACUGAGCUCUUCGAUGAAGGUCCCAGAGGACUCUACAUUAUCGACAAGACUUCACCCUCCCUACACUGUAAAACCCUUCUGCCUAUGGAUACGAAGGAUAUCAACACAUUAACACGCCAGAGGAUAUACUGAUUGAACUUGGAGCUCUGCUGGGAGUUGACCUCAUAUUUAGAUUUUUGAAUUCUGCUUUGCCACAAAUCAUAAUAAACACUGACAACU